ensembl:lncRNA
CCCGGAAGUAGGAUUCGUCACGUUAUCACUGAACAACCGGAUAGGAAAAACCUUAAAUUAAGACCAAGAACACUAGAGGUGAGACAUGAUCAUUAAUUAAUAUUAAAAUUAAUAAAUGACAGAUUUAGUGAUAUUUUCAUAAACACCUCCUUUCCUUUUUUUGUUCUCCAUUUUCUUUAGUUCGUCUAUAAGAUUGCUAAACAAGGGGAAGGGUGCAUCCGGCCUCCUCGGCUGUAAUUGGUCCAGCCCAGAGGCGAUCAUGACCAAUUGGCCAAUCCAACACCUUUCAUUAUAUAUACCCUUCCUAAAAUAAAAAAUUUUAAAAAAAUCCAUCGGCCCAUAAAAACAAAAAAUCGCCAGCGGCCCACCGGGCAAAUGCCCGGUAUGCCCGAUGGCCAGUCCAGCUAUGGCUUCUGCCCUGUCUCAUUAUGAUUAUCUGUGUCAGCUGUGUUCCCCGUGUGUUCCCAUGUCCCUCGUUAUCCUUCUGUGUAUUUAUGUCCGCGUCUCCCUCAGUUCUUUGUCGCAUUCUCCCUCUUAGCUGUGUGACUUUCCCCGUGAGUUUAGUUUUCCCAGUUUAGCUUUGUACUGGUUUCUGUAUCGCCUCUUUCCCGUUCUGUUAAUAAAGCUAUAUUUUGAGUUAAGUCCCCGUUCUGGUGAGUUUGCGUUUGGGUCCAAUUCCUGCCUGCACACAGCUGAUUAUGAGAGAAGAAGGCAACCACGACAUGGACCCAGCAGCUCCCAACCCCUCCGCUGAGCUCCGAGCGGACCUAGUUUUCACGGUGCAGUAUCUUUGUCAAGAGUGGGUAGUGCUGCCGGUCCCGGAGUACCAGGAGGUGUUAGCUACCCGUUUACAGAGGAUGGUUUUCGGACUCCCCUGGCUAUUCAGCGUGCUACACCCCCUCAUCCAGGACUUCCUCGUUUCCACUGUACACGUCCGCCCGGAGCUGCCUCUCCAGUAUGACGAGCCGGAGGAUGUUCAGCCCGGUCAGCUGGAGGAUUCGCGGCCUGGCUCGUCUCCUCCCCCUUCCCGGAGAAAACAGCGGUCAUGCCGGUGAUCCCAAGCAGCGGAGCAGCUUUCUUCCUUUGAGAGUGAUCGUGUUUCUCACGUUCCGCUAGAGCAUUCAGCUCCCGGGUUUCCUGACAUUACAUCCUCUUAAUGGGGGUCGCUUGGAUGGGUGACGAAACGUUGGUCCCACUGAAAACGCUACAUCCAGAUGAACGCAGUCAACUUUUCCUGGGAUUUCCUUACCUGGAUGAUGGAGCAUGCAUCAAGACGGUGCACUUGGAAAUUAUUUCAAUAUCAUCAUUAAAGCUGAAAUGUGUUGGAGUGAAAUAUGGAAAACGAACUUUUAAAAAAGAUUGAGAAUUUGAAGAACACUUACAAUAUCAUUAAAAUAGUACAGGUUUUUAGAGAUAUGUGCCAUUGUUUCCUUUGAAACACAAAGUCUUGUUUUGUGUUCCUGACAGCCACAAGACCUGCACCAGCUGGGCUCUCACUCCCUCACAGCUAUAAGGCCUCAUGUCUUCUGGGGUGACUCAAACACAAUAAACCACAAAAUAACAGACAAAUUGGGGCAGAUGGAGGAGGGAGAUGACGAGGGAAAAAUUUUGUCUGUGAAAGACGAAAAGGACAUGGAGGGGAAACAAAGAAAACAUAAAGGUGCAUGACGAGGCAUCAAUAAAACAAGAAAAGAGGAAGAUGUGUUUUGUCUGUUGACAGGUAAAACAGGCCUACCCUUUGCAGCUUCAACACUUCUUGGGAGGCUUUCCAUAUGGUUUAGCAGUGUGUUCCUGAGAAUCCCUGAGACUGAUGUUGGACAAGAAGGCCUGGCUUGCAGUCUCCACUCUAAUUCAUCUCAAAGGUGUUGAGUCGAGGUCAGGACUCUGUGCAGGCCAGUCAAGUUCUUCCACACCAAACUCACUCAAUCAUAUCUUUGUGGGCAUUGCUUUGUAC